GACGGGGCCGCGACAAGCGUGGAGCAUGUGGUUAAUUCGACGCAACGCGAAGAACCUACCAGGCUUGACAUCCCCUGACCGCGUAUGAAAGUACGUUUCGACCCUCGGGUGACAGGGAGACAGGUGGUGCAUGGUUGUCGUCAGCUCGUGUCGUGAGAUGUUGGGUUAAGUCCCGCAACGAGCGCAACCCCUACGUUUAGUUGCUAACGCGUGAAGGCGAGCACUCUAGACGAACUGCCGUUGACAAAACGGAGGAAGGUGGGGAUGACGUCAAAUCAUCAUGCCCCUUAUGUUCUGGGCUACGCACGUGCUACAAUGGCCGGUACAGACGGACGCAAAGCCGCGAGGUGGAGCAAAUCCUAAAAAGCCGGUCUCAGUUCGGAUUGCAGGCUGCAAUUCGCCUGCAUGAAGAUGGAGUUGCUAGUAACCGCAGGUCAGCAAUACUGCGGUGAAUACGUUCCCGGGUCUU
rnacentral:rRNA from 1 species